GCGUGGCUACAUUACGACUCUUGUGUCCCUUCCUCCACUGUCAGAGAAGUUUCAACUGGGGAGUGACGUGAUCAGACCUGUGCUGGUGACUGAAUAGCCAGGGAGAGGGUUCUGAGAACUCCUUCAUUAACUGGUUACGGCCUGGCCGCAGCACCUGCCAGAUCGCAUGGCUGCCUCUUCCCACAAGGUGGUAAAUGUAUGAAUGAGUCAAAUCCUACAGCUUCCAGAAUGACCUUGCGGGAAGUGUGGUGCAAGACAAGGAACAUUGUGCUCAUUCCAGGAGAGGGAAGCCCUUCACAUCAGACCUGGAGGAGGGAAGAGAAAGGCACUGAACUGACCAAGUCCCUUCUGUAUGCUGGACACGAGACACCUCUCUGCGGUGCCAAGAGGAAGGGUCCACCUUCCCAUGUCACAGGUCCCCAAGGUCACGGGGCUUCUUUGUCCUGUAGAUGAAGAACCAGAUAUUCCAUUCAUGUUAAAGUAUAACAGCUUUGAGAUAACAGAUUCAAGUGUGACUCCAAGUAGGCUGUGUAGUUGGAACAGCAAGCAAAUCGCUGAUCGUGAAAUUUCAGGCAUUGGAUGGAGAAGAUGUGCCUCCAACAGCCUGGAUAAGACUGGCAAUACCGCCCUCCUGGCUGGGAACUGGGCUUCCCCUGCCAGACCCUGUCGAGUGGACUGUCAUGGUGGGUGCCCUUGCUUUCCUUUCCUGCUACGCUGCAGGUUCUGUGAGGCAGAGACGCGGUUUGUGUUGCUGGCCAUGAAUUUUAUGUUUCUGGCACAUUACGGGUGCUCCAGAAAUAUGUGCUGCCCGAAUAAAUCCCAUUUCAGAGCUGAGGGACCACUAAUCCCGAGACGUUAA
rnacentral:lncRNA from 1 species